rnacentral:rRNA from 1 species
UGGGGAAUAUUGCACAAUGGGCGGAAGCCUGAUGCAGCGACGCCGCGUGGGGGAUGAAGGCCUUCGGGUUGUAAACUCCUUUCGACAGGGACGAAGCUUUUGUGACGGUACCUGUAUAAGAAGCACCGGCUAACUACGUGCCAGCAGCCGCGGUAAUACGUAGGGUGCGAGCGUUGUCCGGAAUUACUGGGCGUAAAGAGCUCGUAGGUGGUUUGUCGCGUCGUCUGUGAAAUUCCGGGGCUUAACUCCGGGCGUGCAGGCGAUACGGGCUGACUUGAGUGCUGUAGGGGAGACUGGAAUUCCUGGUGUAGCGGUGAAAUGCGCAGAUAUCAGGAGGAACACCGAUGGCGAAGGCAGGUCUCUGGGCAGUUACUGACGCUGAGGAGCGAAAGCAUGGGUAGCGAACAGG